rnacentral:misc_RNA from 1 species
CCCGCACGUUAAAAUCAACUUUCUUUCGCAGCCCCGAAAGCAAAUAGACCAUUAGAAAGCCGCCGUUAGAAUUUCUUCUGCCUCUUACCAAUGCCGACAAAAAUCAAUUCGAUGAUCUGAUUGGUAGCUUCAUUCGUCUCUAAACCAACAUAGAAUCUUCUAAUGCCGUCGAGUUCCAGUUCAGUGAAGCUGUGAGUUAAUCUUUUGAAUUUUUUUUACAUCUAUUAGCUUUUCGAUUUGAGCAUCGUUUAUGGAAAUUCUCGAGGUUAUGGGUUUCGUAGGACAUAAAAAUUGAAAGGAGCCAAACAUUUCUGCGUUCUAGGAAGAGUGGAAUCUUGUACUUCGAUUCUUCGUAGAAUUGCUCUUACCUGUUUCACUUGCUAUUCUUUUUUAAAAAAUCAUUUCAUCGGGUACAUUUUGUCAUAUUAACAAGUUCCUUUUUACUUGAUAGGGGAUUCAGAUAAUUUUUCUUGAUAGAAAGUUGCUGUUGAAAUUGAUCUAUUGACAUGGGUGAUAGCAAUAGUAAUUCGCCCCCUGGGUCUCCUAAAGAAAACCCAGAUCACGAUUCUGAGAAAAAACCGAUUGGCAAGGAUGAUAGCACACUGGAAACCAUAGUCCGUAGGAUCCGGGACUCAAUUUCUACAGGCAAGAAACACAAAUUUUGGGAAACCCAACCAGUAGGUCAAUUCAAAGACAUCCGGGAUGCAAUUUUGCCAGAGGGCCCUAUUGAGCCUCCAACUCCAUUGUCUGAAGUGAAGCAAGAACCUUACAAUCUCCCUAGCCCGUAUGAAUGGACCACUUGUGAUAUUGAGUUGGAAGAGACUUGUUCUGAGGUCUACAAUCUCUUGAAGAAUAAUUAUGUCGAGGAUGAUGAAAACAUGUUUAGAUUUAAUUACUCUAAGGAGUUCCUAAGGUGGGCUUUGCACCCUCCUGGUUAUUACAGAAGCUGGCACAUUGGGGUCCGUGCCAAGGCUUCAAAGAAGCUCGUUGCCUUUAUAACAGGUGUACCUGCUAGGAUUAGAGUGCGUGAUGUUGUCGUGAAAAUGGCUGAGAUCAAUUUCUUAUGUGUUCAUAAGAAGCUCAGGUCAAAGAGACUUGCCCCAGUUAUGAUUAAGGAGGUUACCAGGAGGGUUCAUUUGGAGAAUAUCUGGCAAGCUGCUUACACUGCUGGAGUGGUUCUUCCAACUCCAAUAACAACUUGUCAGUAUUGGCAUAGGUCUUUGAACCCAAAGAAGCUUAUUGAUGUUGGCUUCUCCAGGCUUGGAGCGAGAAUGACUAUGAGCCGAACCAUAAAACUUUACAAGUUACCAGAUUCACCAGCUACUCCUGGAUUUAGAAAAAUGGAGCUUCAUGAUGUACCUGCUGUUACACGAUUGCUCAGACAUUACAUGAACCAGUUUAUUGUUGCUCCAGACUUUGAUGAGAAUGAUGUGGAGCACUGGCUUCUUCCAACUGAGAAUGUGGUUGAUAGUUACUUGGUUGAGAGUCAAGAGACUCACGAGAUCACUGACUUCUGCAGCUUCUACACCCUUCCAUCAUCUAUCCUUGGCAACCAGAAUUACUCGACUUUGAAGGUUGCUUAUUCAUUUUAUAAUGUUGCUACUAAGACUCCACUACUUCAGUUGAUGAACGAUGCACUUAUUGUUGCCAAGCAAAAGGAUUUUGACGUUUUUAAUGCUUUAGAUGUCAUGCAAAACCAGUCUUUCCUGAAAGAGCUGAAAUUUGGACCUGGUGAUGGGCAACUUCACUAUUAUCUUUAUAAUUAUCGGAUACGAAAUGGUGUCACACCAUCAGAACUUGGGCUUGUACUCUUGUAGUUUCAUGUGUCUGAAGGUGCACACUGUGAUUUCUAUUGAUGAUAAGGUCUGUGGGUUGCAUUUUUUCCCCUUUCCUGAGCAGCCAUGGCAGCAGCAAAAAAAUGAGAAUUUGCAGUGUAUUUGAGAACCAGGUCUGGUCCAGUGGUUUUAUACAUCCUAAGUUGGGACAAUAUCAAUGUUGUUUACCAUUCAAAUUGUUAUCUGGACACGAAUGUUUUUGAGAGCUUGAAUACCCUUUCCAUUCUUGAAUUUAGCUAUCUCUCAUUUUCUUUUCCUGCAUAAGUCUGUGGGACAUCCAUGCUAUGGGCAGCAUGAUUAUUAUUGUUUGCGUAAGUAGCUGGAGUUGCGUUUGUGGCAGCAAUUAAUUUCUAUUUGUAUAUGUGUUUUCUCAUUUUCAGUAGGCUUAUGGUUGACGGUUAAUAUGACGAUCUAAUACCCGUCAAUAAUGUUCUUUCUAUUCAAGUGUUAAAUGAAAUGGCCGUACGCUACUGAAUGUUGAUCCUUAAAUGAAAGACCAAAAGGCAAAAGCAACUUUAAGGAAUUAUGCAAUUUUGAUGGAUUCUAG